CCUACGGGAGGCUGCAGUGGGGAAUAUUGCACAAUGGGGGCAACCCUGAUGCAGCGAUGCCGCGUGAGUGAAGAAGUAUUUCGGUAUGUAAAGCUCUUUCAGCAGGGAGGAAAAUGACGGUACCUGAUUAAGAAGCCCCGGCUAACUACGUGCCAGCAGCCGCGGUCAUACGUAGGGGGCAAGCGUUAUCCGGAUUUACUGGGUGUAAAGGGAGCGUAGACGGCAGCACAAGUCUGGAGUGAAAUGCCGGGGCUUAACCCCGGAACUGCUUUGGAAACUGUGCAGCUAGAGUGCAGGCGAGGUAAGUGGAAUUCCUAGUGUAGCGGUGAAAUGCUUAGAGAUUAGGAGGAACACCAGUGGCGAAGGCGGCUUACUGGACUAUAACUGACGUUGAGGCUCGAAAGCGUGGGGAGCAAACAGGAUUAGAUACCCGAGUAGUC
rnacentral:rRNA from 1 species